ACGAGCUUGUUGUUAGUCUCAACUAUCCGUGUUCCACAACUCACCGAGAGAUGAAAAUUUUGCUACUAUGUCGUGGUUUGCUCGCUAAACAUCACAUAUAUGAGUUUAGCAUCCUGAAAGGGUCGUAUCAUUUAAGUGCAGUUUUUGGCCCAAAUUCUACUAGUGGAAGGUUUGGGUUCUACCUCCAGCCGUUUCUUUUUUAAGCGGGUUCUACCCUUCCCUUCCCAAAUUUCAUUCAAGAUGUUUUGUACAACUUCCAUGUGGCAUCG
rnacentral:lncRNA from 1 species